GAGUUUGAUCCUGGCUCAGGAUGAACGCUGGCGGCGUGCCUAACACAUGCAAGUCGAACGAAGCACCUUUUGAGAUUCUUCGGAUGAUCGAUCGGUGACUGAGUGGCGGACGGGUGAGUAACGCGUGGGUAACCUACCCUGUACAGGGGGAUAACAGCUGGAAACGGCUGCUAAUACCGCAUAAGCGCACGAGGAGACAUCUCCUUGUGUGAAAAACUCCGGUGGUACAGGAUGGGCCCGCGUCUGAUUAGCUGGUUGGCAGGGUAACGGCCUACCAAGGCAACGAUCAGUAGCCGGUCUGAGAGGAUGAACGGCCACAUUGGAACUGAGACACGGUCCAAACUCCUACGGGAGGCAGCAGUGGGGAAUAUUGCACAAUGGGGGAAACCCUGAUGCAGCAACGCCGCGUGAGUGAAGAAGUAUCUCGGUAUGUAAACUUCUAUCAGCAGGGAAGAAAAUGACGGUACCUGACUAAGAAGCCCCGGCUAACUACGUGCCAGCCGCCGCGGUAAUAC
rnacentral:rRNA from 1 species